rnacentral:rRNA from 1 species
UACGGAGGGUGCAAGCGUUAAUCGGAAUUACUGGGCGUAAAGCGUGCGCAGGCGGUGUUGUAAGACAGAUGUGAAAUCCCCGGGCUCAACCUGGGAACUGCAUUUGUGACUGCAUCGCUAGAGUACGGCAGAGGGGGAUGGAAUUCCGCGUGUAGCAGUGAAAUGCGUAGAUAUGCGGAGGAACACCGAUGGCGAAGGCAAUCCCCUGGGCCUGUACUGACGCUCAUGCACGAAAGCGUGGGGAGCAAACAGG